rnacentral:rRNA from 1 species
UGGGGAAUCUUGCGCAAUGGGCGAAAGCCUGAUGCAGCGACGCCGCGUGGGGAUGAAGGCCCUAGGGUCGUAAACCCCUUUCAGCAGGGACGAAAAUGACGGUACCUGCAGAAGAAGCCCCGGCCAACUACGUGCCAGCAGCCGCGGUAAGACGUAGGGGGCGAGCGUUGUCCGGAUUUAUUGGGCGUAAAGAGCUCGUAGGCGGUUGCGUAAGUCGGAUGUGAAAACUCAGGGCUCAACCCUGAGACGCCAUCCGAUACUGCGCUGACUUGAAUCCAGUAGGGGAGUGCGGAAUUCCUGGUGUAGCGGUGAAAUGCGCAGAUAUCAGGAGGAACACCCAUGGCGAAGGCAGCACUCUGGGCUGGUAUUGACGCUGAGGAGCGAAAGCAUGGGUAGCGAACAGGAUUAGAUACCCAAGUAGUCCCUGAGCGGGCUGGCAAGGCGCAU